CCUACGGGUGGCUGCAGUGGGGAAUAUUGCACAAUGGGGGAAACCCUGAUGCAGCAACGCCGCGUGAGUGAAGAAGUAUUUCGGUAUGUAAAGCUCUAUCAGCAGGGAAGAGAAUGACGGUACCUGACUAAGAAGCCCCGGCUAACUACGUGCCAGCAGCCGCGGUAAUACGUAGGGGGCAAGCGUUAUCCGGAUUUACUGGGUGUAAAGGGAGCGUAGACGGCUGUACAAGUCUGAAGUGAAAGCCCGUGGCUCAACCGCGGAACUGCUUUGGAAACUGUAAAGCUGGAGUGUGUGAGAGGAUAGUGGAAUUCCAGGUGUAGGAGUGAAAUCCGUAGAUAUCUGGAGGAACAUCAGUGGCGAAGGCGACUAUCUGGCACAUAACUGACGCUGAGGAGCGAAAGCGUGGGUAGCAAACAGGAUUAGAUACCCGAGUAGUC
rnacentral:rRNA from 1 species